rnacentral:rRNA from 1 species
CAAUAGCGUAUAUUAAAGUUGUUGCAGUUAAAAAGCUCGUAGUUGGAUUUGUGGCGUACGGUGUGUUCCGGGCACUUGUUGUCUGAGUAACCUGCUGUUGCCAUCCUUGGGUGGAACCUGUGUGGCAUUAGGUUGUCGUGCAGGGGAUGCCCAUCAUUUACUGUGAAAAAAUUAGAGUGUUCAAAGCAGGCUUAUGCCGUUGAAUAUAUUAGCAUGGAAUAAUGAGAUAGGACUUUUUUGCUAUUUUGUUGGUUUGCGCAAAGAGGUAAUGAUUAAUAGGGACAGUUGGGGGUAUUCGUAUUCCAUUGUCAGAGGUUAAAUUCUUGGAUUUUUGGAAGACGAACUACUGCGAAAGCAUUUACCAAGGAUGUUUUCAUUAA